UUGAGUUGGAGCCGUUAAACGUAACACAUCUCGUUGUUCGCUAUUGUACUGCUAUUUUGUAUUCAAUUGCAUCGUAAAGUUCUGUUCGCGUGUUUGUCAUUCAGCCAGCCAUCUAGCCAGUCAUACAGUCAGUCAGUUAGUUAGUUAGUCAGUACACAACAACGCUGCUGCUGCUAAUUUUAUUCUCUUGCUUUUCUUGUCAAAAGUCAAACGAACCCAACGACCGACCAGUUCAGUUCAUUUCAGUUUCAGCAGCAAGUUUCAGUGUUUUUUGGGGGCCUAUAGCGAGCAAAGCGUACGAGCAAGCAAAUAGUGUCUCAAGUAUCACUUCACUAGACGAAAUUUUGUUUUUAUUGUUGCUAUUUUAAGUGCCAGAAUAAAAGUUUAUAAUUUUUUUUUUAACGAAAAUAUAUUUUAAAAAAAAAAACAAGUGCGAAAUUUACAAAAAUUUUAAAAAAUUUACAAAAAUAUAAAAAAAUUAAAGAAUUAUUGUGCAUUUAACUAAAUAAAUUAUAAAAAAAAUACAAAGAAAAUUUUUUGUAUUAAAAUUUUCUAACAAAAAGGUAUUUAAAAUUAAAAAGUAAUAAAACGAAAAGUGCUAAAAAUAAACCGUAAUAACUAAAACCUUUUAAUUUAUUAAAGAAAAACAAGAAAAUUGUGUCAAAUUGUUAAUGGCUGAAAAUAAAGGAAUCAUGUUGGGCGAAAUCUGUACAAAAACACGCUGGACGUGCCAAAGAAAAGGUAAAUACAUUCCAAAAAAAAACAUUAAAUUACAAAAAAAAA